CGGGAGGCAGCAGUGGGGAAUAUUGGGCAAUGCACGAAACUCUGACCCAGCGACGCCGCGUGCGGGAUGAAGGCCUUCGGGUUGUAAACCGCUUUCAGCAGGGAAUUCAUCGAAAGUGACGGUACCUGCAGAAGAAGCACCGGCUAACUAUGUGCCAGCAGCCGCGGUAAUACAUAGGGUGCAAGCGUUGUCCGGAAUUAUUGGGCGUAAAGAGCUCGUAGGUGGUUCGUUACGUCGGAUGUGAAAAUCUGGGGCUCAACCCCUGACCUGCAUUCGAUACGGGCGAACUUGAGUUUGGUAGGGGAGACUGGAAUU
rnacentral:rRNA from 1 species